GAUCGGGGGUUCUCCUUCACCUGCUUAGUCUCCCACCUGCCAGUGGUGGGAUUCAGCAGGAUGGGGACCGAGUCUGAGAGCUACCUUAGUAGUUUUUGAGGGUUGACUUUUGUUCCUUGGGCUCCUCGUUAUGCUUUCUUUAAUCCCAAGGAGUCUGUCUCAUCUUUAAUUGGAAGCAAAGUUUCUGUCUCUAAUUUAAACAAGAACAUGGGUGAAUUCCUUAGGAUUCCUUCUGGCUGCUAAUGACUGAGAUUUGAAGUAGUACUGGCCUAUGUAUAGACGCGGGAGUGUUUUUUUUUUUCUGACCUAAAGUCUGAAGGGCUGGUUUCCAUCCUCAACUUCACUUUACGGAGACAAUGUGAUCACUGUAGCUCCAGCCAUCACGCCAGCAUUCUAGGUAGAUAAAAGGAGGAAGAAGGGACACAAAGUGCAUCUCCCAGCCCCAGACACUUCUCAGCAGGAAGUCGUGACGGAGUGUGGAAUGGAAAACGAGCAGGACUGUUGAGCCAACCAGCCUGAAUUGUGAUGGCUGGAGCUGCGACAGCCAUCUUGGACCAGGAGGACAGCUUGAGGACGGAAGCUAUUUCCCUGAAUG